GGCGACAGAGGAUGGAUCAGUUAAGGACUACCUGUUUUGUUCAUUUCCUCUGGGGCACCUGGCAUUGGCCACUGUCGGAAGACAGGAUACUGGGGUGGAUGGACCUUUGGUCUGAUCCAACAGGGCCGUUCUUAUAUUAUGUUCCCUCCAGAGACGGC